rnacentral:rRNA from 1 species
UACGUAGGUGGCAAGCGUUGUCCGGAAUUAUUGGGCGUAAAGCGCGCGCAGGCGGCCUCUUAAGUCUGAUGUGAAAGCCCCCCGGCUCAACCGGGGAGGGCCAUUGGAAACUGGGAGGCUUGAGUAUAGGAGAGAAGAGUGGAAUUCCACGUGUAGCGGUGAAAUGCGUAGAGAUGUGGAGGGAACACCAGUGGCGAAGGCGACUCUUUGGCCUAUAACUGACGCUGAGGCGCGAAAGCGUGGGGAGCAAACAGG